rnacentral:rRNA from 1 species
CGGUAGAGAGGUGCUUGCACCUCUUGAGAGCGGCGGACGGGUGAGUAAAGCCUAGGAAUCUGCCUGGUAGUGGGGGAUAACGCUCGGAAACGGACGCUAAUACCGCAUACGUCCUACGGGAGAAAGCAGGGGACCUUCGGGCCUUGCGCUAUCAGAUGAGCCUAGGUCGGAUUAGCUAGUUGGUGAGGUAAUGGCUCACCAAGGCGACGAUCCGUAACUGGUCUGAGAGGAUGAUCAGUCACACUGGAACUGAGACACGGUCCAGACUCCUACGGGAGGCAGCAGUGGGGAAUAUUGGACAAUGGGCGAAAGCCUGAUCCAGCCAUGCCGCGUGUGUGAAGAAGGUCUUCGGAUUGUAAAGCACUUUAAGUUGGGAGGAAGGGUUGUAGAUUAAUACUCUGCAAUUUUGACGUUACCGACAGAAUAAGCACCGGCUAACUCUGUGCCAGCAGCCGCGGUAAUACAGAGGGUGCAAGCGUUAAUCGGAAUUACUGGGCGUAAAGCGCGCGUAGGUGGUUCGUUAAGUUGGAUGUGAAAUCCCCGGGCUCAACCUGGGAACUGCAUUCAAAACUGUCGAGCUAGAGUAUGGUAGAGGGUGGUGGAAUUUCCUGUGUAGCGGUGAAAUGCGUAGAUAUAGGAAGGAACACCAGUGGCGAAGGCGACCACCUGGACUGAUACUGACACUGAGGUGCGAAAGCGUGGGGAGCAAACAGGAUUAGAUACCCUGGUAGUCCACGCCGUAAACGAUGUCAACUAGCCGUUGGGAGCCUU